AGAAUGAACGCUGGCGGCGUGCUUAACACAUGCAAGUCGAACGGAAUCCAAGGAGCUUGCUCUGGAAGAUUUAGUGGCGAACGGGUGAGUAUCACGUGAGCAACCUGCCCCGAAGACUGGGAUAACACCGGGAAACCGGUGCUAAUACCGGAUACCUUCCAAUGACCGCAUGGUCGAUGGAAGAAAUGUUUUUCGCUUCGGGAGGGGCUCGCGGUCCAUCAGCUUGUUGGCGGGUAACGGCCCACCAAGGCUUCGACGGAUAGCUGGUCUGAGAGGACGAUCAGCCACACUGGAACUGAGACACGGUCCAGACUCCUACGGGAGGCAGCAGUGGGGAAUCUUGCGCAAUGGACGAAAGUCUGACGCAGCAACGCCGCGUGAGGGACGAAGGUUUUCUGAAUUGUAAACCUCUUUCGACAGGGACGAUAAUGACGGUACCUGUAGAAGAAGCACCGGCCAAUAUGCGCCAGCAGCCGCGGU
rnacentral:rRNA from 1 species